CUGGGCCCACCAAGAGAAAUGAACCUGAUUCUCUGAGAGGGGGCUCCUUCUCUCAAUCCAGAAAGGAACCUCCUCUUGCCAUGGUGGGGAAAUUUUCUCUUAUCAGAGGAUUCUUGGGAGAGAGGAGCAAGAUAGCGGAGGACUAGACGACCUAAAUUUCAUCUCGUCCCAGGAAUUCAGCUAGAUAAGGAUCAAACCAUUCUGAACACCUACAAACUCAACAGGAGAUCGAAGAAAAGAAUAACAGCAACUCUCUGAACAGAAAAGCAACCACUUUCUGGGAGGUAGGACGUGUGGAGAAGUGAAUCCGAGGUGAUAUUCGGGAAGAUAGAUGGGGGUGGGGGCCUCCAUCAGCCACUACCGGCAAGUUAUAGAGCAGCGGAGCACAAAAUCAGAACUUUUCAAAGUCUGCUCCACUGAGGGAGGUCGCUCCAGUGGCUAAGCGGGGGGUGGAACCCUCGCUGGGACAGUGUGGUCACAGGACCCUUGGGUCACAGAAAGACUGGGGGUGCCUGAGUGCAGCAUGAGCUCCCAGGGAUCAGAGUGGGGAAGCUGGCUGCAGAGACGGAGCCAAGGAGUGGGCUCUCAGCUCGGGGUUGCCAUAAACCGUGAUGCACGGCACAGUUGGGCCACUGCUCCUCCAGCAGGGACCCAACAAGCAGCAGAACUGGGGGGACUCCCCUUCCUCCCCAGGGAGGAGUGGUGCAGGAGUGCACCACAGGGAUCUGCUAGGUUUGGAGACUCCACACAGGCUCGGAUGCCAGAGAUAGAAACGCUCAGUCACAGGCUGAGUGAGCAUGGAGUGUGGCCAGAGACCAGGGAGAUGGGAGUGAUUGACUGCUUUUCUCUGGGGGAGCACUGAGGGGUGCUCUCUGGGGGAGCACAUAUGUGCAUAUAUGCACUGCAUAUAUGAUGCAGCAAAGGCAGUCCUAAGAGGAAAGUAUAUAGCAAUACAAGCCUUUCUCAAGAAACAAGAAAGGUCUCAAAUACACAACCUAACCCUACACCUAAAGAAGCUGGAGAAAGAACAGCAAAUAAAGCCUAAACCCAGCAGGAGAAAAGAAAUAGUAAAGAUCAGAGCAGAAAUCAAUGAAAUAGAAACCAAAAGAACAGUAGAACAGAUCAAUGAAACUAGAAGGUGGUUCUUUGAAAGAAUUAACAAGAUUGAUAAACCCCUGGCCAGACUUAUCAAAAAGAAGAGAAAUGACCCAAAUAAACAAAAUCAUGAAUGAAAGAGGAGAGAUCACAACCAACACCAAAGAAAACAAACAACUAUAAGAACAUAUUAUAAGCAACUCUAUGCCCGCAAAUUAGACAAUCUGGAAGAAAUGGAUGCAUUCCUAGAGAUGUAUCAACUACCACAACUGAACCAGAAAGAAAUAGGACACCUGAACAGACCUAUAACCACUAAGGAAAUUGAAGCAGUAAUCAAAAAAUCUCCUAACAAACAAAAGCCCAGGGCCAGAUGGCUUCCCAGGGGAAUUCUACCAAACAUUUAAAGAAGAAUUAAUACCCGUUCUUCUGAAACUGUUCCAAAUAAUAGAAAUGGAAGGAAAACUUCCAAACUCAUUUUAUGAGGCCACCAUUACCUUGAUCCCAAAACCAGACAAAGACCCCAUCAAAAAGGAGAACUACAGACCAAUAUCCUUGAUGAACAUGGAUGCAAAAAUUCUCACCAAAAUAGUAGCCAAUAGGAUCCAACAGUAUAUUAAAAGGAUUAUUCACCACGACCAAGUGCCAUUUAUUCCUGACCUGCAAGGUUGGUUCAACAUCCGCAAAUCAAUCAAUGUGAUACAAUACAUUAAUAAAAGAAAGCACAAGAGCCAUAUGAUCCUCUCAAUAGAUGCAGAAAAAGCAUUUGACAAAGUACAGCACCCUUUCUUGAUCAAAACUCUUCAGAGUAUAAGGAUAGAGAGUACAUACCUCAAUAUCAUAAAAGCCAUCUAUGAAAAACCCACAGCGAAUAUCAUUCUUAAUGGGGGAAAACUGAGAGCUUUCCCCCUAAGGUCAGGAACACGGCAGGGAUGUCCACUGUCACCACUGCUAUUCAACAUAGUAUUAGAAGUCCUAGCCACAGCAAUCAGACAACAAAAAGAAUAAAAGGCAUCUGAAUCAGCAAAGAAGAAGUCAAAUUCUCACUCUUUGCAGAUGAUAUGAUACUUUAUGUGCAAAACCCAAAAGACUCCACCCCAAAACUGCUAGAACUCAUACAGAAAUUCAGUAAAGUGGCUGGAUAUAAAAUCAAUGCACAGAAAUCAGUGGCAUUCCUAUACACUAACAAGACAGAAGAAAGAGAAAUUAAGGAGUCGAUCCCAUUUACAAUUGCACCCAAAACCAUAAGAUACCUAGGAAUAAAUCUAACCAAAGAGGCAAAAAUCUGUACUCAGAAAACUAUAAAAUACUCAUGAAAAAAAUUGAGGAAGACACAAAGGAAUGGAAAAACGUUCCAUGCUCAUGGAUUGGAAGAACAAAUAUUGUGAAGAUGUCAAUGCUACCUAGAGCAAUCUACACAUUUAAUACAAACCCUAUCAAAAUACCAUCAACUUUUUUCAAAGAAAUGGAACAAAUAAUCCUAAAAUUUCUAUGGAACCAGAAAAGACCCUGAAUAGCCAGAGGAAUGUUGAAAAAGAAAAGAAAAGCUGGUGGCAUCACAAUGCUGGACUUCAAGCUCUAUUACAAAGCUGUAAUCAUCAAGACAGUAUGGUCCUGGCACAAAAACAGACACACUGAUCAAUGGAACAGAAUAGAGAGCCCAGAAAUGGACCCUCAACACUAUGGUCAACUUUUCAACAAAGCAGGAAAGAAUGUCCAAUGGAAAAAAGACAGUCUCUUCAACAAAUGGUGUUGGGAAAAUUGGACAGCCACAUGCAAAAGAAUAAAACUGGACCAUUUCCUUACACCACACACAAAAAUAGACUCAAAAUGGUUGAAAAACCUAAAUGUGAGACAGGAGUCCCUCAGAAUCCUAAAGGAAAACACAGGCAGCAACCUCUUCAACCUCAGCAACUUCUUCCUAGAAACAUCGCCAAAGGCAAGGGAAGCAAGGGCAAAAAUGAACUAUUGGGACUUCAUCAACAUAAAAAGCUUUUGCACAGCAGAAGAAAUAGUCAACAAAACCAAAAGACAACCGACAGAAUGGGAAAAGAUAUUUGCAAAUGACAUAUCAGAUAAAGGGCUAGUAUCCAAAAUCUACAAAGAACUUACCAAACUCAACACCCAAAGAGCAAAUGAUCCAAUCAAGAAAUGGGCAGAAGACAUGAACAGAUGUUUUUCUAUUAGCAAUAAUCGCGCCUCGGAUAAACCUCAUUGGCUAUGAUACUGCCGCUGCGCAAAGCUAUGAACAGAUGUUUUUCUAAAGAAGAUAUCCAAAUGGCCAACAGACACAUGAAAAAGUGCUCAACAUCACUCAGCAUCAGGGAAAUACAAAUCAAAACCUCAAUGAGAUAUCACCUCACACCAGUCAGAAUGGCUAAAAUUAACAAGUCAGGAAAUGACAGAUGUUGGCAGAGAUGCGGAGAAAGGAGAACCCUCCUACACUGUUGGUGGGAAUGCAAGCUGGUGCAGCCCUCUGGAAAACAGUAUGGAGGUUCCUCAAAAAAUUGAAAAUAGAGCUACCUUAUGACCUAGCAAUUGCACUACUGGGUAUUUACCCCAAAACACAAAUGUAGUGAUCUGAAGGGGUAUGUGUACCCCGAUAUUUACAGCAGCAAUGUCCACAAUAGCCAAACUAUGGAAAGAGCUUAGAUGUCCAUCAACAGAUGAAUGGAUAAAGAAGAGGUGGUAUAUAUAUACAAUGGAAUAUUAUGCAGCCAUCAAAAGGAAUGAAACCUUGCCAUUUGCAACAAGGUGGAUGAAACUGGAGUGUAUUAUGCUGAGCGAAAUGAGUCAAUCAGAGAAAGACAUGUAUCAUAUGAUCUCACUGAUAUGAGGAAUUCUUAAUCUCAGGAAACAAACUGAGAGUUGCUGGAGUGGUGGGGGGUUGGAGGGAUGGGGUGGCUGGGUGAUAGACAUUAGGGAGGGUAUGUGCUAUGGUGAGCACUGUGAAUUGUGUAAGACUGUUGAAUCACAGACCUGUACCUCUGAAACAAAUAAUACAUUAUAUGUUAAAAAAAAAAAGGAAGAAGAUAGUAGGAAAGGAAAAAUGAAGGGGGGGAAAUCAGAGGGGAACAUGAACCAUGAGAGACUAUGGACUCUGAGAAACAAACUGAGGAUUCUAGAGGGGAGUGGGGUGAGGGGAUGGGUUAGCCUGGUGAUGGGUACUAAAGAGGGCAUGUACUGAAUGGAGCACUGUGUGUUAUAUGCAAACAAUGAAUCAUGGAACACUACAUCAAAAACUAAUGAUGUAAUGUAUGGUGAUUAACAUAAUAAAAUAAAUAAAUUUAAUUAAAUUAAAAAAUCAAAGGAUUAUUCCAGACUUUGUGGCUCAUAUUGUCAACACUGUGUUCUCUAUCUCUGUAUCAGCCUAUAGCUUUUAAUAUUUUAAAAGAAGCUUUUGAAAUGAUAAAAAAAAUAUAGAAGUAGAAUGCAAAAUAUAAAUAGUUUUCUCUUUUAAAUGCUUUGCUUUUGCAAUUGCAGUCAUGUCUUUCAAAAAUAUUGCUUCUGCUAUAGGUUACAGAAGACUAUAAAAAUAAUUCAAAAAUAAGAAUUUAGAUUUUAUCUUUUUCUCUAUCAUUCCCUUCUGGAUGGUCAUGGCUUGAAGAUGAAAACCAUCACCAUUAAAUGGUGGGAGGGAUGUAAAAAUAAAGUGAAUUGGGAAAUACAUAACUUACUAACGUAAUUUAUAAUAUAAAUUUUCCCUUCUUUUUUCUUCCUGUAAACUACCACCUGGAUGUUUAUUCUCAUCUAAAUUCUUCCUUUCUAAGCAGGUGGGAUUAUGACUCUUUCCUGAAUCUGUUUCUUUAGAAUAUAAUGCCACUCUCACUGAGAUCUUAUAUCAGGACCUGGAUACUGGAUGAAUUACUCACUCCCCUCCACCUUACUUCUCCCUGCUUCUUGCUUGGUGGUUCCCACUACUCCCUCAUCCUCAAAGUGUCUGGCCUCAGGAGCGUGGGAAGCUUCCCUGUGUGUAAGUCUGACUCCACAGGCUUCAUUGACAGGGAGUAAAUGAGUCAUUGCUCAGAUCCUGGCCUUGACCUAGAAGGAGAAUAGGCACCAGCUGAGCCUGGCCUGACCCCAGGACAUGGGCUCCAUUCUCUGGUCUCCCUCCGACUUCCAGAGAACUCCCAACCCCCACCUGAACUCGGCCUAGCUGCCCAUUUUUUUGGUGAUAAAACUACUGUCAUAGUUCCAUUUUCCUACCAAAAGGAUACCAGAAAGGAGACCAACUCUUAAUUGUCAUCAUGGACAUCUUCCUCCUCAAGAUCCUUCUCUUGCGUUUUGGGCUAAUAUCAUUGGAAUCAGCCUUUUAAAGAAAAGCUUCAAUUCUUGUCAAUGUUCACAGUCUGAGAUAGAAUCCUAAUUUUUCAUGGCAUUGCUCCCUUCCCCCUCUUUUCUUACUUCUGCUAAUUAUUUCUGGGGAUUUAAAGCAUUCUGUAGUAUACUUUCUUUUUUUUUUUAAUUUUAUUUUAUUAUGUUAUGUUAGUCACCAUACAUGUAGUAUAUUUUCAAGCUAAAUAUUAAUAAGUCCUCUGUUCUAAAACCCAAAUCUGGCUCCUCUCUGCAUAUGCCAUCUCUCCUAGGGUCAAGGUCCUGGCCUCAAGCUGACUUGCUCCAAUUCUCAUGUAUGGUUUGUAAUAGUCCAUGGUGCACAAGAAUUUUUGAAAUUCUGGACUGAUGUCCCCAAAAGAAAUAGAGGGGAAGGGGCAAAUAUAGAUAUAAUCUUUUCCUGCAACUGAACUCUACCUAGAAGGGAACUCUCAGUUCCUCCCCAUGGUUCUUGAAUCACAAAGAAAGAUGAAGCCUAGAUGGGAAUAAAAAUAUUUUGAUGCUAAAUGAUAUUAAAUGAUACUUUAGUGAUUUUGAUUCUGAAUGAUGUUAUUUUUUUAUUCAUUUUACUUCACUUUUUUUUCCCCACAAUUCUUUUAUACCUCUCCUACCAUUUAAUUAUCAGUGAUAGCUUUUUUCAUUGCUCUGCCCACAAAAGGAGAGUGAACACAUCCCAAAACCAAGGGAUAGAUGAAUUUCUGAAUGGGCUUUUGUUGAACACAUUGUAUGGAAGCAAAAGUAAGAGCCAAGUUUUUUGGGAAGCAGGGAUAUUUUUGUUUGAUUUGCUUGGUUUGGAGAUUUUGUUUUCUGAAAUUCCAAAAACUUGACUAUUCUAAGCAAGAUGAAAGCUGAAAGCUAAAUUAUAGAG